AUUGAACGCUGGCGGCAUGCUUUACACAUGCAAGUCGAACGGCAGCACGGGUGCUUGCACCUGGUGGCGAGUGGCGAACGGGUGAGUAAUGCAUCGGAACGUACCGUGUCAUGGGGGAUAACGCUUCGAAAGAGUUGCUAAUACCGCAUACGCUCUGAGGGGGAAAGCGGGGGAUCGUAAGACCUCGCGUGAUACGAGCGGCCGAUGUCGGAUUAGCUAGUUGGGGAGGUAAAGGCUCACCAAGGCGACGAUCCGUAGCUGGUCUGAGAGGACGACCAGCCACACUGGGACUGAGACACGGCCCAGACUCCUACGGGAGGCAGCAGUGGGGAAUAUUGCGCAAUGGGCGAAAGCCUGACGCAGCGACGCCGCGUGGAGGAUGAAGGUUUUUGGAUUGUAAACUCCUGUUAAGUGGGAAGAAAGAACAAAAUUUAAUAAAUUUUGUGGAUGACGGUACCAUUAAAGAAAGCACCGGCAAACUUCGUGCCAGCCGCCGCAGUAACAC
rnacentral:rRNA from 1 species